UACAGAGGUCUCGAGCGUUGUUCGGAUUCAUUGGGCGUAAAGGGCGCGUAGGCGGCGGGGUAAGUCUGGUGUGAAAUCUCGGAGCUCAACUCCGAAAUUGCACUGGAUACUGCUCUGCUAGAGGGCUGGAGAGGAGAUCGGAAUUCACGGUGUAGCAGUGAAAUGCGUAGAUAUCGUGAGGAAGACCGGUGGCGAAGGCGGAUCUCUGGACAGUUCCUGACGCUGAGGCGCGAAGGCCAGGGGAGCAAACGGG
rnacentral:rRNA from 1 species